rnacentral:rRNA from 1 species
CCUACGGGAGGCAGUAGUGAGGAAUAUUGGUCAAUGGCCGGAAGGCUGAACCAGCCAUGCCGCGUGAAGGUCAGUGCCCUAUGGGCGUUAAACUUCUUUUGUGCGGGAGCAAUAAUGGUCACGUGUGGCCAGACGAGAGUACCGUACGAAUAAGCAUCGGCUAACUCCGUGCCAGCAGCCGCGGUAAUACGGGGGAUGCAAGCGUUAUCCGGAUUUAUUGGGUUUAAAGGGUGCGUAGGCUGUGAGGUAAGUCAGCGGUGAAAUGCCCCCGCUCAACGGGGUGAAGUGCCAUUGAUACUGCCUGGCUGGAAUGCGGAUGCCGUGGGAGGAAUGUGUGGUGUAGCGGUGAAAUGCAUAGAUAUCACACAGAACACCGAUUGCGAAGGCAUCUCACGAACCCGCGAUUGACGCUGAUGCACGAAAGCGUGGGUAUCAAACAGGAUUAGAUACCCUUGUAGUC